AGAACGAACGUUGGCGGCGUGGAUUAGGCAUGCAAGUCGAACGAAUCCCACUGGCGUAGCAAUACGUUGGUGGGGGAAGUGGCGAAAGGGGCAGUAAGGCAUAAGUAACCUACCCUGGGGAUGGGCAUAGCCGGCCUAACGGCCGGGUAAUACCCAGCGAUUUGACGAGGGGGCAUCCCCUUGUCAGGAACGAGUUUCGCCUCGGGAGGGCUUAUGUGAUAUUAGCUAGUUGGUGAGGUAACGGCUCACCAAGGCGAAGAUGUCUAGCGGGUGUGAGAGCACGACCCGCGCCACUGGCACUGAGACACUGGCCAGACCACCGUACGGGUGCUGCAGUGGACGGUAUCGUUCGUACGGAGU
rnacentral:rRNA from 1 species